rnacentral:rRNA from 1 species
GGAGUUAGCCGGUGCUUCUUCUGUGAGUGAUGUCCUUCCUGCCGGUUAUUGACCCGCAGGCCUUCUUCCUCACUGAAAGUGCUUUACAACCCGAAGGCCUUCUUCACACACGCGGCAUGGCUGGAUCAGGGUUGCCCCCAUUGUCCAAUAUUCCCCACUGCUGCCUCCCGUAGGAGUCUGGGCCGUGUCUCAGUCCCAGUGUGGCUGAUCAUCCUCUCAGACCAGCUACGGAUCGUCGCCUUGGUGAGCCGUUACCUCACCAACCAGCUAAUCCGACAUAGGCUCAUCCGAUAGCGCGAGGCCCGAAGGUCCCCCGCUUUCCCCCGUAGGGCGUAUGCGGUAUUAGCCUGGGUUUCCCCCAGGUUAUCCCCCACUACCGGGCAGAUUCCUAUGCAUUACUCACCCGUCCGCCGCUCGCCACCAGGGAGCAAGCUCCCCGUGAUGCCGCUCGACUUGCAUGUGUUAGGCCUGCCGCCAGCGUUCAAUCUGAGCCAUGAUCAAACUCUGA